CCUUAGAUAGCUCAGUUGGUAGAGUGGAGGACUGUAGUGGAUAUGCAAAAGCAAUCCUUAGGUCACUGGUUCAAUUUUGUCUCUAAGGA